UCCCAAGCCCGGAUGAGAAAAUGUGGAGGGGACUGCAGUUAGCUCCUCUGUAUCCUUUGCAUUAGAACUGUCAUGGUCUCUUAAUAUUUUACAUUGAGUAGCAGUGAAUGAAGCGAGUAGAAGUUGCACAGAUUGUCCAGUCGAAUACCGAAUCGUCACACAAUGUGGUGGCAAGCUUUGGAAUGCAUCCUUUGCUAUGAAGAAUCUGGGCAAGUGUAAUUUUGUAGUCAGUCAGACUCCUCCAGGAACUUGCUGAUUCCUAGCUGUACAAGGUAAUGGAAGCCGGACCUGCAGUAUGCAAGCAAAUGGGGAUGGUUCACGAGUUCCCUGAUAAUUUCAGUUUCAGUAAACUGGCAGGUAUGGUUUGCAUGACUGAUCCUUAUACUGCACUUGGAUGGGCGUGGUUAUCAUAGCAGUGAUUCAGGAGCUGGGAAAUACGUACAUUAUUACUAGUUGAGUUAAUGAUGUGUACUAAGGUUAGUAGAGGAAUUGUGAUAAUCUGUAGAAGUAAGUUCAGGGUGUGUUGGGAAUUGGAACUACAGUACUGGUUGUCCUUGAGCAGAGAUGCAGGUAUGGUGGUUCAUUUUCAGAGUGGAAAUUCAAGUCCGACGAAACUGAAGCUUCAACCACUGCAAUCCUCAACGGGCGACGGCUAUCCUACGGUCAGGUGAAAGACCUCUAGAGACAAAGCUGCCCCCUUCAUCACCUCGUGUGUAGUGGUUCAUGCCCUUGUUCAUUUUAGUUAGACACACCAACAGUCAAGCUUUGCGCCCUAGAUGUUGCUGCAGUUUCAGGCUUUCAGCUGUAUACAAAUUUCCGACCACAGAGUCUGUCUCGUCUUGUUGUAAUUUUAUCGCGCUGGAAUCUUAAAUCUUGUAAGCA